rnacentral:rRNA from 1 species
UGCAACGCGAAGAACCUUACCUGGUCUUGACAUCCACGGAAGUUUUCAGAGAUGAGAAUGUGCCUUCGGGAGCCGUGAGACAGGUGCUGCAUGGCUGUCGUCAGCUCGUGUUGUGAAAUGUUGGGUUAAGUCCCGCAACGAGCGCAACCCUUAUCCUUUGUUGCCAGCGGUCCGGCCGGGAACUCAAAGGAGACUGCCAGUGAUAAACUGGAGGAAGGUGGGGAUGACGUCAAGUCAUCAUGGCCCUUACGACCAGGGCUACACACGUGCUACAAUGGCGCAUACAAAGAGAAGCGACCUCGCGAGAGCAAGCGGACCUCAUAAAGUGCGUCGUAGUCCGGACUGGAGUCUGCAACUCGACUCCAUGAAGUCGGAAUCGCUAGUAAUCGUGGAUCAGAAUGCCACGGUGAAUACGUUCCCGGGCCUUGUACACACCGCCCGUCACACCAUGGGAGUGGGUUGCAAAAGAAGUAGGUAGCUUAACCUUCGGGAGGGCGCUUACCACUUUGUGAUUCAUGACUGGGGUGAAGUCGUAACAAGGUAACCGUAGGGGAACCUGCGGUUGGA